GACGAACGCUGGCGGCGUGCUUAACACAUGCAAGUCGAACGGAAAGGCACUGCUUUUGUGCGGUGCUCGAGUGGCGAACGGGUGCGUAACACGUGAGUAACCUGCCCUUGACUUUGGUAUAACUUCAGGAAACUGGGGCUAAUACCGGACAGGAGCUCCUGCUGCAUUGUGGGCGUUGGAAAUUUUCGGCGGUUGGGGUUGGACUCGCGGCUUACCAGCUUGUUGGUGGGGUAGUGGCUUACCAAGGCUUUGACGGGUAGCCGGCCUGAGAGGGUGACCGGCCACAUUGGGACUGCGGUACGGCCCAGACUCCUACGGGAGGCAGCAGUGGGGAAUAUUGCACAAUGGGCGGAAGCCUGAUGCAGCAACGCCGCGGGCGGGAUGACGGCCUUCGGGUUGUAAACCGCUUUCGCCUGUGACGAAGCGUGAGUGACGGUAAUGGGUGAAGAAGCACCGGCUAACUACGUG
rnacentral:rRNA from 1 species